AAUUUGUGACAAUGGGGGAAACCCUGAUCCAGCCAUCCCGCGUGUAUGAUGAAGGNCUNNGGGUUNUNAAGUACUUUUGGCAGNNNNNAAAAGGUAUCCCCUAAUACGGGAUACUGCUGCCGGUAUCUGCAGAAUAAGCACCGGCUAACUACGUGCCAGCAGCCGCGGUAAUACGUAGGGUGCAAGCGUUAAUCGGAAUUACUGGGCGUAAAGCGUGUGUAGGCGGUUCGGAAAGAAAGAUGUGAAAUCCCAGGGCUCAACCUUGGAACUGCAUUUUUAACUGCCGAGCUAGAGUAUGUCAGAGGGGGGUAGAAUUCCACGUGUAGCAGUGAAAUGCGUAGAUAUGUGGAGGAAUACCGAUGGCGAAGGCAGCCCCCUGGGAUAAUACUGACGCUCAGACACGAAAGCGUGGGGAGCAAACAGGA
rnacentral:rRNA from 1 species